UACGGAGGGUGCAAGCGUUGCUCGGAAUUAUUGGGCGUAAAGGGUAGGUAGGUGGUCUUAUUUGUCUGGGGUGAAAGCCUUGAGCUUAACUCAAGAAGUGCCCCAGAAACGGUGAGACUGGAGUCCUGGAGAGGGUCGUGGAAUUCCCGGUGUAGCGGUGAAAUGCGUAGAGAUCGGGAGGAACACCAGAGGCGAAGGCGGCGACCUGGACAGGUACUGACACUCAACUACGAAAGCGUGGGGAGCAAACAGG
rnacentral:rRNA from 1 species